rnacentral:rRNA from 1 species
UACAGAGGUCCCAAGCGUUGUUCGGAUUCACUGGCGUAAAGGGUGCGUAGGCGGUCGGGUAAGUCUGAUGUGAAUCUCACAGCUUAACUGUGAAACUGCAUUGGAUACUAUCCGGCUGAGAGGAAUGGAGGGGAGACGUGGAAUACUUGGUGGUAGCAAGUGAAAUGCGUAGAUAUCAAGUGGAACACCAGUGGCGAAGGCGAGUCUCGUGGACAUUUCCUGACGCUGAGGCACGAAAGCCAGGGAGCAAACGGG